CUGGUUUUCAAAGAUCAGUUUUAUUUUGCUUUCUGUUUAGAAUUAUGAAAAAUUCGUUGCUUUUUAAAUGGCUAUUUUACCUUUCUAUAUAUUAUAUAGACAUGUCAUGCCACAUCGAACAGUUGCAAGUGGUCAGUUAAAUAAUGUAUGCGUCUCAUGCGAUGAAUAUGUUUAUAAAGAGUGUAUAGUGGCCAGGACUGGAAUGGCUGCCCAUUCGUCCACUGCUUGGGAUAUGGUGAAGGUUGAAAGACUCAGUGUUGGCGAACAGCAUGAUAGUCAAUUUAACAAAUGCGUUAGUAAGGGCUAUAAAAUAACCGGCAUAUGUACAGGCAGAAGAAAGCAUUCGGAAGGGGAAGAUGAGUUGAUGUAGACAUGCCCAUUUCCCUGUACAUCACUGUGUGUGGGGUUUAAUGGACAGAUGUAGAAUAACUUGCGUAAUUCGGAAGUCUUUCUAGCCAGCCGACUCGGCACAUUGGUAGCCCUGAGUGAUUGUCCAAGCAUUGGCAUUUUCCAAGCAUCUGCGAAAGGCCCAAUCUGUACCAAGCCAUGACCUAAACCAGAAGCAGCUUAGUCUGGUAAGACGAUCCUCAAUUGGAGUAAUGACGCAUUUGUUGGGACAGAAAUGUUAAGCAGUUCGGCCGUGGUACGGACAGGCAGGCGUCAGCGAAACUUUGUUCCUUCCUGGUGUUUUUGACUGCGGUUCCUCGGGGAGUAACAUGGUGGCCGUGGUUUAUACCCAAAUAUGCGGCUAGAGCUUGGCGUGGAGUUGCGUAACAACCAGGGGCUGUAUCUACAGACCAGCUAAGGUUUUAGGUCGUAGUAGUUAUAGUAGUUAGUUACACCAAAAUUAUUAGGUAUAAACAGAUCCACAUCAUUUCGCAUUCUCCCCCCAAAAUUGUAUGUAAUUUUACAUAUAAAGCAUAUUAACAUUAGUCUCAACAUGAGGAAAAGUGAAAACUACGUUUUAUCAAUUAUACUUAUUGGUAUUGUAGUUUGGAAAUCGGAGGCAUAUGAAGAUGACGAAUUGAAUAAUCAAUGUGUCGAAUGCGAUAAUGGAGAUUGUAAAAUAUUCUAUAAAGGUUGGAUGUUCGUAAGAGAUCAUCCAAAAGAUAAGACAUUAGUUCGUCGAAUUCCGUACAACGCAGACAACUAUGAUCCAUUGUCUGAAUGCGUAUUGCCGGGCUUUCGAGUAGAGGGUAACUUGGAAAAUUUUCUGUGUUUUUCGUCGCCCUUAAUGGGAUGCCAGCCAGUCGCAAAUAAAACAUUGAUUAAGCUAAACAAAUCUGAAAAGAUAUGUUCGACGUGUCUUCAGUUCUGCGGUUGCAAUUAUCCAAAUAGAUCCUCAUCCAUCGUAUGCAGCCAAGUUGGACUAUUAUCUAUGUGCUUUAUUGUGUUUUUGGUAGGGAUAUAACAAAGAGAAUGUUUUAACAAAUCUGUAACUCAAAAAAAAAAUAAAAACAUUUAAUAGUUGAA